GAAGAAACCGCCGACUCUGCACUCUGGGGGCAAUCCCACGGUUCCCGGCCAGAACACUCGCGCAGCGAGUGAUCGUCAGCAACCGGAUAAAAAUGCUGAUCCGGCACUUUGGCGACAGCGCUGCGACCGGACGAAGACUUCUAGCUGCAGCCGGAUCGGACCUUUAGUUCAGUUUAAAAUCAUACUCCGCAGCCAUAGCUGUGUAAUAAAUAAUUUUAACACAUUGUUUAUAUUAUCCUUUACCUUAACAGGAUGAGGUGAAAUAAAUGAAAAAACCUAAUAAGCCCAAUCUGUUAUCAAUGGAUCCUUGCCCCAACGGGCUUGAGUUAAAAAACAAUUUAUAGGGAUAACUGGUGAAGAAGGACCAUCUCAAUUUCUGAGAGCAGCAAUUCGAAAAGUAUUUUCUGACGAAUUGGCUACAAAAGUGCUGAAAAGUGCUUCCUUAUAACAAUAAUAAAAAAUAUUUGCCACAUAAAAUUCAAAUACACGGAUAAGCACAUAAACAUGGCUUUUCAAACAUUUUUCGUACAUGCCAAAUACCUUGUUAAAAAAAGAAACCGCGUG